UACGUAGGGUGCGAGCGUUAAUCGGAAUUACUGGGCGUAAGGCGUGCGCAGGCGGUUUUGUAAGCCAGUCGUGAAAUCCCCGGGCUUAACCUGGGAAUGGCGAUUGGGGCUGCAAGGCUGGAGUAUGGCAGAGGAGACUGGAAUUCCUGGUGUAGCAGUGAAAUGCGUAGAUAUCAGGAGGAAUACCGAUGACGAAGGCAGGUCUCUGGGCUGAUACUGACGCUCAUGCACGAAAGCGUGGGGAGCAAACAGG
rnacentral:rRNA from 1 species